rnacentral:piRNA from 1 species
UGUCAUGGUUGUCUGAGCAUUUAGUUGUGU